AAGGAUUUAAGUUAAAUCUAAACUUAUAGCCUUCAAAGCUACCAAUAGAGAGACGGUUCUUUAAGCCUUA
rnacentral:tRNA from 1 species